rnacentral:tRNA from 1 species
GGAGGCUUAGCUCAGCUGGUUAGAGCGCCUGCUUCACACGCAGGAGGUCACUGGUUCGAGCCCAGUAGUCUCCACCA